CUUCUUUAAUGCAUUUUUUCCCUUAAGGUCAGAUAGCAGAAAUGGGGAGAAUGUGCCCGUUAAAAGCAUAUCACCAAAUACAGAUGGCCUGAAAGCAUCAUCUGGGAAUCACCUCCUUUUUCCAAAAGCAAUCUUCAAUACCAAGAACCUUUAAGGGCACCAGGGAAGUUCACAGGAGCAGGAUCCAUAACAAAAGCAGCUUUCCAGCAGGGCAAAAUAAGGGCCAUGGUCCUUAAUAUCUUCUUGUUUGGAGGGAAUCAUAGCUCCAGUUUUGCUGUCCUUCAUCUUUAUACUGGGGUCCCUCCGGGCCUUAGACAAGAGGCUUGCUGAUUACCCCAUUUGAGACAAAGCGGGAGAGGAAGUCAAUUGUGUUACAUCUGGACUACAAAAAUAUUUUAUUUGUGGCUUUGCAGCUGGCUAACAAAGGAGUCAGAAGCAGCAUACAGGCCAUCCCUCCUUCCAGAAAGUUCUGUUCAUAAUACCUGCAAAUUUCCC
rnacentral:lncRNA from 1 species